rfam:Spinacia oleracea cultivar SynViroflay scaffold5552.con0023.1, whole genome shotgun sequence.
CGGCGAAGGUCCCAGCAGGGAGGUGAGGAACUCUAUAAUUGAGACCUCUCUAACACAAUGUUUAACCUUCGCAUAUGAAUUGCUGAAAUAUUA